CCAAUCUCAAUUAUACCCGAUCCAUUUUUUUGCUAAUUGGGUUUUAUCGAAUCCGAUCCAAUCUGGUUUGAAUGUGCGUAAAACAUUUUUUUUUUUUAAUAUCUAUUGUAUUUUUUUUAUAAACAUAUCUGGUUAUUUGACGGAUUUUCUUGAAGUUAGCACGACUAGGGUAUAAAAUUGAAAAACCAGACCUAAACCGAUUGCCAUCCCCACGUGACUUUGGAAAAGACCCUAAGAAGGUGGUAAGAGAAGCGUUUAUCUAAGGCACUAGUGUAUUACUAUCCGUUUGCAGGCAGGGUUAGGAAAGGGGAUAAUAGGAAGCUCGUGGUGGAUUGCCAUGGUCAAGGAGUGCGCUUUUCAUGGAAGCUGAUACAGAUAUUACAUCGGAAGAGAUUGGUGACUCAGUAUAUUUACUAUCAUGUCCUUAUAUUGAAGAACUUCUAUGGGAUGUGCUUCACUCCAGUGGAAUCCUGGCUUCUCCAUUGUUGUUGAUUCAGGACAAUUUCGCUCUGCCUCGAUCCUUCGGAUAUUGUUGGUAUUUCCUACGUGGUUAAUGCAAGAGGUAGGAAAGAUAUGCAAGUGCCUAAUGGUUACUAUGGAAAUGCAUUUGCAUUGCCAAUGUUGCUAUCAGAGGUUAGUUUUGGUAUGUGAUAGGCCCUUUGGGUAUGCACUAGAAUUGGUGAAAAAAAAAUAAAAAAUCAGAUGACUUUAGACUAUAUAAUGUCAGGGGCAGAUCUUAUUGUGAUUAAAGGACGACCUUGUUAUAAUACACAAGUUGAGAGCUUCAUUGUGGUUGAUACGACUCAUGUACCGUUCGUGAAGAUCGAUUUCGGGUGGGGGAAAACCGGUGUCCUUUGGCAUUGCCGGCGUUGUACCAUCUAUAUAUAAGUUUCUUCUCAAGGUCUGAAAACACAGGAGGAGAGGAAGGCAUAGUUGUACACAUAUGGAUGCCACCCCUUGUCAUGGAGAGGUUUGAACAGGAAUUGAAGAAAAUUAUUGACACAAUAAUUUCUAGUGGAAUUAAAUCAAUGUUCUAAUUAUGUAUAAACAAAGUUUGUCAAAUUGUCUUUGUGACACUAUUUAAAAUAGGACAAUAUUAAUUCAUUAUAUACUUGUUAUGUGGUUAAUUGGAAAAAAAAAUGCUGUAAUUAUAUGAUUAAAUUUCCCUACUUAUCUUUAAUAUCUGCACUUCUA